rnacentral:rRNA from 1 species
CCCGUUGAAAAACGGACUAAUACUCCAUAACACAGGGGUCCCGCAUGGGAAUAUUUGUUAAAGAUUUAUCGGUUGAAGAUGGGCAUGCGUUCCAUUAGCUUGUUGGUGAGGUAACGGCUCACCAAGGCUACGAUGGAUAGGGGAACUGAGAGGUUUAUCCCCCACACUGGAACUGAGACACGGUCCAGACUCCUACGGGAGGCAGCAGUGAGGAAUAUUGGUCAAUGGAGGCAACUCUGAACCAGCCAAGUCGCGUGAAGGAUGAAGGUCUUAUGGAUUGUAAACUUCUUUUGCAAGGGAAUAAAGUGGGGGACGUGUCCUCCUUUGCAUGUACCUUGCGAAUAAGGAUCGGCUAACUCCGUGCCAGCAGCCGCGGUAAUACGGAGGAUCCGAGCGUUAUCCGGAUUUAUUGGGUUUAAAGGGUGCGCAGGCGGGAUGUUAAGUCGGCGGUGAAAUUUUGCAGCUCAACUGUAAAAGUGCCUUCGAUACUGGCUUUCUUGAGUGUGGAUGAAGUAGGCGGAAUUUGUGGUGUAGCGGUGAAAUGCUUAGAUAUCACGAGGAACUCCGAUUGCGCAGGCAGCUUACUAUACCACUACUGACGCUCAUGCACGAAGGCGUGGGGAUCAAACAGGAUUAGAUACCCUGAUAGUCCACGCAGUAAACGAUGAUUACUAGUUGUUUGCGAUACAAUGUAAGCGACUGAGCGAAAGCGUUAAGUAAUCCACCUGGGGAGUACGUUCGCAAGAAUGAAACUCAAAGGAAUUGACGGGGGCCCGCACAGCGGAGGACAUGUGGUUUAUUUCGAUGAUACGCGAGGAAC